GGACUACUGGGGUUUCUAAUCCUGUUUGCUCCCCACGCUUUCGCGCUUUAGCGUCAGCAACGAGCCAGAGGGCCGCCUUCGCCGCCGGUGUUCCUCCUGAUAUCUACGCAUUUCACCGCUACACCAGGAAUUCCACCCUCCUCUCUCGCGCUCUAGCUGGCUAGUUUCCAGUGCCCUUCCGGGGUUGAGCCCCGGGCUUUCACACCAGACUUAACCAACCGCCUACACGCCCUUUACGCCCAGUCAAUCCGAACAACGCUUGCACCCUCCGUCUUACCGCGGCUGCUGGCAC
rnacentral:rRNA from 1 species